rnacentral:misc_RNA from 1 species
UGUGGUUACUGUCCCUGCCUACUUUAAUGACUCCCAGCGCCAAGCUACCAAGGAUGCUGGUGUCAUUUCUGGUCUCAAUGUUAUGAGGAUCAUCAAUGAGCCAACUGCUGCAGCCAUUGCCUAUGGGCUUGACAAGAAAUCUACCAGCACUGGGGAGAAGAAUGUGCUUAUCUUUGACCUUGGUGGUGGCACAUUUGAUGUCUCCCUUCUUACCAUUGAAG